rnacentral:misc_RNA from 1 species
ACAAACUUGGUCAUUUAGAGGAAGUAAAAGUCGUAACAAGGUCUCCGUUGGUGAACCAGCGGAGGGAUCAUUACCGAAGUUACUCUUCAUUAAACCCUUAUGUGAACCCUACCCCUCGCCGCGCGGUUGCCUCGGCGGGAGGGUCGGCGGGGCCCCAGCGGUCCCCCGGCCCCCCACCGGCCGCGCCCAACUCUUCUUCUGCAAAGCGGACUGCAUGUUCUGAUUGUAUCUUGAAAAAACAAGUCAAAACUUUCAACAACGGAUCUCUUGGUUCUGGCAUCGAUGAAGAACGCAGC